GGGGAUGUAGCUUAGUGAUAGAGCACUUGCCUGUCAUGCACAAGGCCAUGGGCUCAUCCCCA
rnacentral:tRNA from 1 species